AAAUCGUUUUUAUAAACCUUUUUCGAUGAAGUUUUCUAAAAUUAUUAGGUAGAAUUUUUAUUUUAGAAAAUAACAUUAUAUUAUAAAAACAUCAACUAUAUUAGGGACCAGGAUUAGAUACCCUGUUACUCAUAAGUAAAAGAUUUUGGAAUAGUAUUUAUUAUGAAAUUUAACGGAUUUGGCGGCAAGAUAGCCAUUUAGAGGAACCUGCCCUGUAAACGAUGAACCACGAUUUACCCUACUUUUAUUUGAAUUCAGUUUGUAUACCGCUGUUGCCAGUCAGUUUCUUUAGAAAACUUUCGAUAAUGAAAAAAUCACAGACUUCAAGUAAAGGUGCAGCUCAUAUAAAAGAUAGAGGUGGGUUACAUUUAGGAGAAUAACACGGAUAAAGUUUUUUAAAUAACUUUUGAAGGUGGAUUUAAAUGUAAAGUUUAUAAGAACUUGAUGGGAGCUCUGUCUUGUGUACACACCGCCCGUCGCUCUCUUUUUUAAAC
rnacentral:rRNA from 1 species